UUGGGGUGAAUGGUAUUCAGCACAAGGGACAGGUUUGCCUACCUGUGUGUGGAUGGUGUUCAGCACCAAGGACAGGUGUACUUUUUG
rnacentral:pre_miRNA from 1 species